rnacentral:rRNA from 1 species
GAGCGAACAGACGAGGAGCUUGCUCCUCUGACGUUAGCGGCGGACGGGUGAGUAACACGUGGAUAACCUACCUAUAAGACUGGGAUAACUUCGGGAAACCGGAGCUAAUACCGGAUAAUAUAUUGAACCGCAUGGUUCAAUAGUGAAAGACGGUUUUGCUGUCACUUAUAGAUGGAUCCGCGCCGCAUUAGCUAGUUGGUAAGGUAACGGCUUACCAAGGCAACGAUGCGUAGCCGACCUGAGAGGGUGAUCGGCCACACUGGAACUGAGACACGGUCCAGACUCCUACGGGAGGCAGCAGUAGGGAAUCUUCCGCAAUGGGCGAAAGCCUGACGGAGCAACGCCGCGUGAGUGAUGAAGGUCUUCGGAUCGUAAAACUCUGUUAUUAGGGAAGAACAAAUGUGUAAGUAACUAUGCACGUCUUGACGGUACCUAAUCAGAAAGCCACGGCUAACUACGUGCCAGCAGCCGCGGUAAUACGUAGGUGGCAAGCGUUAUCCGGAAUUAUUGGGCGUAAAGCGCGCGUAGGCGGUUUUUUAAGUCUGAUGUGAAAGCCCACGGCUCAACCGUGGAGGGUCAUUGGAGACUGGAAAACUUGAGUGCAGAAGAGGAAAGUGGAAUUCCAUGUGUAGCGGUGAAAUGCGCAGAGAUAUGGAGGAACACCAGUGGCGAAGGCGACUUUCUGGUCUGUAACUGACGCUGAUGUGCGAAAGCGUGG